rnacentral:lncRNA from 1 species
CAGGUUUUAGAGAUUCCCUGGGUAAUGUCAGUCGAGUCUCUGUCCUAUUUCGGUUUUUCUUUUUUGCUUUCUCUCCUUUUCUCUUCUCUAUAUCUCACAGGGUCUGAAGACAGCAUUUAGAUGCCUUACAACAAGUCAACUAAAUGUACCAGAAGGCCAAACCCACCUCUAUGCUAAUGAGGGAUGUAGAACUUCAAGAAAUUUGCAGAUUAAGAUUCUAUUCACAGAAGAACCAGGGAUUUAUCAUCAGAGCAGGGAUUUUCUCAGAGUUAUUCAGCCUAGUGGUUAAACUGGGGAAUUAA